GCAUGAAACUGCUAAUUGCACAUGGAAGUCACCAAGAACUUGGUAAAGGUGAUUCAAUGACACAUCUAAUGAUUAACAUGUGCGAUGUGGUUCACAUGUUAAUGCAAGCAACUGAAGUGCAUUACCAAUGUCCCAAGAGGAGCAAUCACACAAACACUCGAUUUCACACAUCGAGGAGCCAAACACUAAUAAUUCAGAAGGAUCCCUGGCUGGUGCUGUUUGGGAUGUAUUCCGCAGGCAGGAUCUUCCAAAGCUUAAUGAAUAUCUAGCUGUUCAUCGGGAAGAAUGUGCAGCUAGAUGUCAACAAGUGUCUUCUGUAAUGACUCAUUUCUUCCCUAUGACAAAUUAGUCUUAAAUAAAUUCUCAAAGGUGUUUCAUGUUACUAU